rnacentral:rRNA from 1 species
GCAGACCCGAAACCAAGUGACCUACCCAUGACCAGGUUGAAGGCGCGGUAAAACGCGCUGGAGGACCGAACCCACGUAAGUUGAAAAUUGCGGGGAUGAGUUGUGGGUAGCGGUGAAAUUCCAAACGAACUUGGAGAUAGCUGGUUCUCUCCGAAAUAGCUUUAGGGCUAGCCUCGCAAAGAGGAUGCUGGAGGUAGAGCUCUGUUUGGACUAGGGGCCCGUCAAGGGUUACUGAAUUCAGAUAAACUGCGAAUUCCAGACAUUUAUGUGCGGGAGUCAGACUGCGAGUGAUAAGAUCCGUAGUCGAAAGGGAAACAGCCCAGAUCACCAGUUAAGGUCCCAAAAUUCAUGCUAAGUGGAAAAGGAUGUGGAGUUGCGCAGACAACUAGGACGUUGGCUCAGAAGCAGCCAUCAUUCAAAGAGUGCGUAAUAGCUCACUAGUCGAGUGACGCCGCGCCGAAAAUUUACCGGGGCUAAGCAUGAUACCGAAACUGUGGAUGUGCAUUUAUGCACGUGGUAGGAGAGCGUUCUAGCGGCGGUGAAGCAUGACCGAGAGGACAUGUGGAGCUUCUAGAAGUGAGAAUGCCGGUAUGAGUAACGAAAGACAGGUGAGAAUCCUGUCCGCCGCAAGACUAAGGUUUCCUGGGGCAGGCUCGUCCGCCCAGGGUAAGUCGGGACCUAAGGCGAGGCCGAGAGGCGUAGUCGAUGGACAACAGGUUGAAAUUCCUGUACUGCACCGAAUCGUUAUGAGCGAUGGAGGGACGCAGGAGGCUAGCAGCGCGUGGUGCUGGAUACCACGUUCAAGCGUCAAGUCUGAGAGCGAGUCAAAUGCUUGCUUUCAUAAGGACAAGGCGUGAUGAGGAGCGAAAUUAAAGUAGCGAAGGCUGCGACGUCACACUGCCGAGAAAAGCUUCUAGCCAGAAACGGUGCACCCGUACCGCAAACCGACACAGGUAGUCGAGGAGAGUAUCCUCAGGUGAGCGAGAGAACUCUCGUUAAGGAACUCGGCAAAAUGGCCCCGUAACUUCGGGAGAAGGGGCGCUGGUCGCAAGAUCAGCCGCAGUGAAAAGGCCCAAGCAACUGUUUAUCAAAAACACAGGCAUCUGCAAAAUCGUAAGAUGAAGUAUAGGUGCUGACACCUGCCCGGUGCUGGAAGGUUAAGAGGAGAGCUUAGCGCAAGCGAAGGUUUGAAUUGAAGCCCCAGUAAACGGCGGCCGUAACUAUAACGGUCCUAAGGUAGCGAAAUUCCUUGUCGGGUAAGUUCCGACCUGCACGAAAGGUGUAAUGAUUUGGGCACUGUCUCAACGAGAGACUCGGUGAAAUUAUAAUACCCGUGAAGAUGCGGGUUACCCGCGACAGGACGGAAAGACCCCAUGGA